AUGAAGAGGAUCAUGCCUUUCUGUUGGAAUUGCUUUUCUGGUUUAAGCAAUCAUUCAGACCAGCAAGCGAUUGUUAAUGAAAGGUUUGAUUUGCAGUGGAGCAGUCAUGGACCUGUUAUAGAGAUCUUGGUGAAAAACUUGUCACUGCAAUUCAGUCAAAUGGGUGUUGAGAUUGAAGUUUCUGCUUUUGUUGACUUUCUGAUAAAUUACAAAAACAUCGACAAGGUUAUGUGGGAGCCUUUUAUAGAGUCCUCAUGUUUUCAGUUAAAUAUACUUCGAAAAUGUGUUUUUCAUGCACUGGAUGUAUCUCCCAGUACUGUGGUGUCGCUAAAUUCAAGCAAGCAGCUUAAUGUUAACAUAUCAGAGCCCUUCAUCGAGGAAUCAGGGCAGUGGUCUGCGGAUAGAAUUGAUGAUACUCUAGCCUUCAUCGAGGUACAUGAUCUUGGCAUACUGAAUCAGGGCAGUGGUCUGCAGAUAGAAUGUGGCUAUAUAUCUUAUCUCGAGGAGCAUCACACCUAUUUAGCUUAG
rnacentral:rRNA from 1 species